GCACGAGGUUCUUCUUGGGCCUCGAAGUUUCCAGGCAUCCUGUCCCCUCCCCGGGGCACACGCCCAGCAUCACCCUGAGUUCUGACCACGCCCAGGCUGCCCAGAGUGCAUGGCCUCACCCCCAUGACUGCCCUGAAGCAGUGCCCGGAUUCUCGUCCCCAUCUCUCAGAUAAGGAGACAGAGGCUCAAGGAGCUGAAUGGGGUAUCAGCUCGACCAACAGCUCCUCCUCAUCCCCGCAGCCUGGAAACAGCAGUGUCCGGGUUGCUCUCUGGAGGCCAGAGCUCCAAGCCUCGGGCCGGUCUGGCUCGUCUCGGCCGCGUUCAGACGUCAGUCUGUGCAGCCACCUCUCUGGGGUCAAGUUCUUUAACAUCCGAUCCCGCAGAGAUGAUUAUAUCCGAUGACCGCGGAGACUAGUGAACGGCUGGAAUCCAGGUAGCCGGACCCAGGAGUGGCUGGGGGCCACGGCCAGCCCGAAGCAGGAGGGCGAGAGGCAGCCGGGGCGUGAGGCGCAGGAAGGUCCCUUCCUCCUGAGCCCCACUGGCCUUGCCCUUGGGCUUCCCUGCCUUGAGGCAGGGCCUGGAUAGGGGCAGGGAGUCCCACAGCAAGAGGGAGCAGGGCUACUGGAUCCCUGGGGGGCUCCUGCCCAAGUCCUCCCUCAUUUCCUGGAUUCCAGGAAGGCUCCGGGGUGGGGGCUGGGGGCAGUAGGCAAGCCCCGAACAGGGGUGUGCCCAUCCUGCGGCCCGGCCAGCCCUUCCGGUGCCGUGGCCAGCCCUACGCGCGGCCAGCCAGAGCCUCUGGGAGCCUCUGGGAGCUGCAGCCCUGGGCCGGAGGCCAGGAAGGCCCGAGGCUGGAAGAACAGAGAGGAGGCAAGGCCCAGGUCUGGCUGGGGAAGAACCGGGACCAAAGGCAGAAAAAAAUCAGGACAGGUCCUUACCACCUACAGCUCAUUGACAAGUCCUUGAAGCAGGCCGAGUGACAUUCCUCCAGGAACUCAGCUGCCUCGAUGCUGAUACUUUCUAAGGACAAAAGGGAACAUUAGCCCAACCCCCAGGACCCUCCACUCCGGCCCUGACCCCGUGCCUACCUUUCAGCCCUUCCCGGUGGGCGAGCUGUCAACUCACCAGAGUCCAGAGGUCCCCCCAGCUGCCAAGUCUGGGGUGCAGGGGCGCGGUGAGCUAAGAGGGUACAGAGGGGGGACCCCUGCGAGUAAAUCCCUGGGGAGAGCUAGCACCCUGCCUCCCAAGUGGGCCUCUCUGGGUCCGCCGCCCUGCCAGCCAGCAGCGCCCGAAUGCGGAGCCACUACCAGGGCAGGAGGUCAUGCUGCUGCUGGGGCUCCCGGCCUCAGCGAGGAUGAGGCAGAGACAGCCUCUCACGCAGGGCCCCAGCUUCUGGUGGAUCUGCCCAGAGCUGGCACACCUCUGGGCACUCUGCGAAGCCCCCGACCCCAUGCGGGGGCAAUGCAGGGAGGGGUGUGAGGACACAGCGCAGACCACCAGGCCGCUUCCAAGCAAGUCUUCUACAAGGUACUUCACAGCCCUCAAAAGGCAGGUCCCUCAGUGACCUCCUGGGGAGCCCCACAGGCCAAGAGUCCAGUCCUGGUUCACGGACCACCCCCCCCUUUAGUGCAGCUCUAUCAGCUAAUGGCAGCUAAAGUGAUCUGACAUAAAAUAAUGUGUCAGAGAUAAUUGCUCCUGGGCUCAGCUCCCAAAUUCCAACCUGCAACCAAAGGCCAGACGUGCCCGUUAAUGAUUAAACCUCCGGAAUCGGUAGGGCUGGGGCAGAGCAGCAGGGAGGCUCCUGGCCAGGGAGAUUGGCCCUGCCCAACAGGAACCGGUUCCUGCCCCACGGGGGAGGGGAAACACUUCCCCACCGAUGAUAAACACCGUGUAAUCCCAGCAUCCAUGACAGCAGACAGCCAUCCCGCUGUCUGUCACAGAGCAGGUCAUGGUCAUGGCCCUGCUGGGGCCCACCUGAGGUCAGGAUGAAGCCCCAGGAGCACCUGGGUGGCUCAGUGG